rnacentral:rRNA from 1 species
GCUCCAGGGUGAGCAGUGGCGAACGGGUGAGUAACACGUGAGUAACCUGCCCCAGACUCUGGAAUAAGCGCUGGAAACGGCGUCUAAUACCGGAUACGACACGCCUCCGCAUGGGGAGCGUGUGGAAAGUUUUUCGGUCUGGGAUGGACUCGCGGCCUAUCAGCUUGUUGGUGAGGUAAUGGCUCACCAAGGCGAUGACGGGUAGCCGGCCUGAGAGGGCGAUCGGCCACACUGGGACUGAGACACGGCCCAGACUCCUACGGGAGGCAGCAGUGGGGAAUAUUGCACAAUGGGCGAAAGCCUGAUGCAGCGACGCCGCGUGAGGGAUGACGGCCUUCGGGUUGUAAACCUCUUUCAGCAGGGAAGAAGCGCAAGUGACGGUACCUGCAGAAGAAGCACCGGCUAACUACGUGCCAGCAGCCGCGGUAAUACGUAGGGUGCGAGCGUUGUCCGGAAUUAUUGGGCGUAAAGAGCUUGUAGGCGGUUUGUCGCGUCUGCUG